GCCAUACCAGGUAGGGCUGAACUAGGGUCACCAGGCUCUCUUCUCAAGGGAGCAGCUGUGAGCUCUGAGACUAGAAGGGGUAUCCAUGGACACAGGGCACUGAGGGCCUCAAGUGUGGCCCUUGUGCUUAUCUGCUCUGGCCCACCUGUUAUCCUCACAGCCAUGAUGCUGCCGUCACAGUCACAGCCCCUGCUGCCCAGCUUGGACACGAGGGAGCUGGCAGUCCAGCAGCAGAACUUCAUCAACCAACAGGCGCUGCUCCUGGUGAGGGGGGCAGGGCCCCAGGGAUCUCCCAGGGGUGGGGAGGGCAGGAGUGUGGCACACAGCCAGCCAGAACUCUUACCUGGCCCCCUGCCCAUCCCUCUUAGGCCCAGCAGAUGACCAACCAGGCCAUGAGCCUGUCUCUAGAGCAGCAGACUCAGCAACGCCAGCACCAAGCCCUGGCCUCCACAGCUGCCUCCCCAGCACCACCCCCAGCUGUCGCUCCCAAGACCAAGAAGCCUCCUGCACCCCAGAGAGAGCCACCCCAGAGGGAGCCAGAAUAUGACUUGGAAUCGCCAGGUCCCUGCUCAGGGGUAAGGAGCCAAGGCUGUGUGGACAGUGAGUGACACUUGGGGUGGAGACAGUAGGUGCCAGGGUUACAGGGGUGAGACCUGAGCGGGAAUGUUUCGGGGAGGGGGGUGAUGUAUGUGUGGGCGUGUGGCAGGCGGGGCUGCUCUUCACCUCUCCCUUCUCCCAGGAGACUUCAGAGGGGACUGAAGACAGGACCUGGCACCCCAAGACCUUCCAGCAGAAAAGGGACUACUUCCAGAAGAUGGGUGAGAGUAUUCAGUGUGGCCUGGCCGUCGAGGGCUGGGUGUCAGCAUGGACCCUCCAGGAGCCCAGACAGGCCGGCCAGUGGAGCUGUGGGGAAAAUGGGAGUGACAAAAGACCAUCUGGGGUACUUACAGGGCAGCAGCAGAUCAAGGUGAAGAUGGUGAAGCCUCCAGCCAAGGUCCAGAUCCCUCAGGGCGAGGAGGUGGAGGAGGAGGAGGAGGAGGAGGAGGAAGAGAACUGCGAAGCGCCGCCCCCUCCUCCUCCCCCAGUCGUGAAGAAGCCAAUGAAACAAAGCGGAACCAAUGCUGCUUCAGAAAAGGUGGAGGCUGAGCUCCCCCUGGCUGAAAAGGCCAGGCCUGCCCCAAGCAGGAGGCCUGCAGUGAGCAGCUCAGACCCCACGCCACACUUGGAACCCAGCAGGGAAAUUCGCAACAUCAUCCGCAUGUACCAGAGCCGCCCAGGGCCUGUGCCUGUGCCUGUACAGCCCAUCAGGUGGGCUCAGGAGCUGUGGCCAGGUCUUUACUGCCCAGGGAGUCA
rnacentral:lncRNA from 1 species